AAAAUUUAGAGUGGUAGGAGAGCGUCGAAUAAGGGGUGAAGUCAGAGCGGAAGCGCUGGUGGACUUUAUUCGAGUGAGAAUGCCGGAAUGAGUAGCGAGAAUUAUGUGAGAAUCAUAAUGGCCGAAAAUCUAAGGUUUCCUGAGGAAGGUUCGUCCGCUCAGGGUAAGCCGGGGGCUAAGGCGAGGCGGAGACGCGUAGCCGAUGCACAUACGGUUGAAAUUCCGUAGCCACCGAAAGAUUUAAGUACAGGGACGCUUUAGAAGUGAUGUUGCCGGGCGAUGGUUGACCCGGUCGUAAGGGAUCGAAAAUGAGUAGAGAAGUCAUCAUGGAAAGAGACAAGAAAAGCUGUAUGAAUAUCUUAGGUGCCCGUACCGCAAACCGACACAGGUAGAUAGGAAGAAGAUUCUAAGGCCAACGGGAGAAGGGUUGUUAAGGAACUCGGCAAGUUGACCCCGUAACUUAGGGAUAAGGGGUGCUCAAGUGAUUGAGCCGCAGAGAAUAGGCCCAGGCGACUGUUUAGCAAAAACACAGGUCUCUGCUAAAUCGAAAGAUGACGUAUAGGGGCUGACACCUGCCCGGUGCCGGAAGGUUAAGAGGAGAUGUGAGAGCAUUGAAUUGAAGCCCCGGUAAACGGCGGCCGUAACAAUAACGGUCCUAGGUAGCGAAAUUCCUUGUCAGGUAAGUUCUGACCCGCACGAAAGGUGUAACGAUCUGGGCACUGUCUCAACAACCCGCCCGGCGAAAUUGUAGUACCGGUGAAGAUGCCGGUUACCCGCGACUAGACGGAAAGACCCCAUGGAGCUUUACUGUAGCCUAAUAUUGGAUUUCGGUAUUUCACGUACAGGAUAGGUGGGAGACUGGGAAGCACAGGCGUCAGCUUGUGUGGAGUCGACCUUGGGAUACCACUCUUGGAGUGCUGGAAUUCUAACCUGCGGCUUUGAAGCAAGUCGGGGGACAUUGUUAGGUGGGCAGUUUGACUGGGGCGGUCGCCUCCUAAAGAGUAACGGAGGCGCUCAAAGGUUCGCUCUGCAUGGAUGGAAACCAUGCGUCAGAGUGUAAACGCAAAAGCGAGCCUAACUGCGAGAAUGACGGUUCGAGCAGUAACGAAAGUUGGAGUUAGUGAUCCGGCGGUAUGUGAAUGGAAAUGCCGUCGCUCAACGGAUAAAAGCUACCCUGGGGAUAACAGGCUGAUCUCCCCCAAGAGUCCACAUCGACGGGGAGGUUUGGCACCUCGAUGUCGGCUCAUCGCAUCCUGGGGCUGAAUUCGGUCCCAAGGGUUUGGCUGUUCGCCAAUUAAAGCGGUACGCGAGCUGGGUUCAGAACGUCGUGAGACAGUUCGGUCCCUAUCUGUCGUGGGCGUAGGAUAUUUGCAAGGAGCUGUCCCUAGUACGAGAGGACCGGGAUGGACGCACCUCUGGUGCACCAGUUGUCACGCCAGUGGCACAGCUGGGCAGCUAUGUGCGGAACGGAUAAACGCUGAAGGCAUCUAAGCGUGAAGCCGCCCUUAAGAUAAGAUAUCCCUUCUGUUUACAGAGUAAGACCCCUUGAAGACUACAAGGUUGAUAGGCUCAAAGUGUAAGCACGGUGACGUGUUUAGCUAGCGAGUACUAAUCGGUCGAGGGCUUAACC
rnacentral:rRNA from 1 species